rfam:Fukomys damarensis contig147067, whole genome shotgun sequence.
UGGAUCAAGGAUGACCCCUGGUGGCGUGUGAGUCACAGGUGGUAACGAAACUCUGGAAGUCUAAGGGCCAC